CAGCAGCCGCGGUAAUGCGAAGGGGGCUAGCGUUGUUCGGAUUUACUGGGCGUAAAGGGCGCGUAGGCGGACUGAUAAGUCAGGGGUGAAAUCCCAAGGCUCAACCUUGGAACUGCCUUUGAUACUAGAUAGCUUGAAUCUUGGAGAGGCGAGUGGAAUUCCGAGUGUAGAGGUGAAAUUCGUAGAUAUUCGGAAGAACACCAGCGGCGAAGGCGACUCGCUGGACAAGUAUUGACGCUGAGGUGCGAAAGCGUGGGGAGCAAACAGGAUUAGAUACCCCCGUAGUCCCUGUCUCUUAUAC
rnacentral:rRNA from 1 species